UACAGAGACUGCGAGCGUUAUUCGGAUUCACUGGGCGUAAAGGGUGCGCAGGCGGCCAAGUGUGUGAGGCGUGAAAGCCCGGGGCUUAACCCCGGAAUUGCACCUCAAACUACAUGGCUAGAGCAUUGGAGAGGGUAGCAGAAUUCACGGUGUAGCAGUGAAAUGCGCAGAUAUCAGGAAGAACACCGAUGGCGAAGGCAGUUCUCUGGGACGGUACUGACGCUGAGACGCGAAAGCGUGGGGAGCGAACAGG
rnacentral:rRNA from 1 species